rnacentral:rRNA from 1 species
GCCAAGCCGUAAAAUUAACUCACAACAAUAAACGCCAGGGUAUUACGAGCUUUAGCUUAAAACCCAAAGGACUUGACGGUGUCCCACCCCACUAGAGGAGCCUGUUAUUUAAUCGAUGAUCCACGUUAUACCUAACCAUUUUUUGCUUUUCAGCCUGUAUACCUCCGUCGCAAGCUUACCCUAUGAAUGUCACACAGUAGGCCCAAUAGUCUAAACACUACAACGUCAGGUCAAGGUGCAGCUUAUAAAAUGGUAAUUAAUGAGCUACAAUUUCUGACACAGAACAAACGAAUUACUACCUGAAAUAUAGUAUGAAGGAGGAUUUAGUAGUAAAUAGAGAAUAAAGAGCUCUAUUAAACCUGCCCUGGGACGUGU